AGGGAAUCUUCCGCAAUGGACGAAAGUCUGACGGAGCAACGCCGCGUGAGUGAUGAAGGUUUUCGGAUCGUAAAACUCUGCUGUUAGGGAAGAACAAGUACCGUUCGAAUAGGGCGGUACCUUGACGGUACCUAACCAGAAAGCCACGGCUAACUACGUGCCAGCAGCCGCGGUAAUACGUAGGUGGCAAGCGUUGUCCGGAAUUAUUGGGCGUAAAGCGCGCGCAGGCGGUUUCUUAAGGCUGAGGUGAAAGCCCACGGCUCAACCGUGGAGGGUCAUUGGAAACUGGGAGACUUGAGUGCAGAAGAGGAGAGUGGAAUUCCACGUGUAGCGGUGAAAUGCGUAGAGAUGUGGAGGAACACCAGUGGCGAAGGCGACUCUCUGGUCUGUAACUGACGCUGAGGCGCGAAAGCGUGGGGAGCGAAC
rnacentral:rRNA from 1 species